rnacentral:snRNA from 1 species
UUUCGGGCACGGAUAAGCACUA